AAAAAUUGGAUGCAAAAAUUUUAUUAAUCACCAGUUUAUUAAAAGCAAUUAGCUGACAAUGUGAAAAUUAGAAUAGAAAUAGCCCUAAACCCUAAAUAGUCAAGGCUCGAAAAUGCUACAAUAGAUACCAUAGACUAUAUUUUGGUCAGCUACAAGAACAUGUUCGUGUAUGCCUUGAUGACUCCCAAGAUUGACAAUCCAAAC
rnacentral:lncRNA from 1 species